AGAGUUUGAUCAUGGCUACAGAACGAACGCUGGCGGCAUGCCUAACACAUGCAAGUCGAACGGGAUCCUAGCUUGCUAGGUGAGAGUGGCGGACGGGUGAGUAACACGUGGGAAUCUGCCUUUUGGUUCGGGAUAACCGCGGGAAACUGCGGUUAAUACCGAAUGCCCUCGAGAGAGGAAAGAUUUAUCGCCAGAAGAGGAGCCCGCGUCCGAUUAGGUAGUUGGUGGGGUAAAGGCCUACCAGGCCGACGAUCGGUAGCUGGUCUGAGAGGAUGAUCAGCCACACUGGGGACUGAGAUACGGCCCAGACUCCUACGGGAGGCAGCAGUGGGGAAUAUUGGACAAUGGGGGCAACCCUGAUCCAGCAAUGCCGCGUGAGUGAUGAAGGCCUUAGGGUUGUAAAGCUCUUUUGCCAGGGAAGAUGAUGACUGUACCUGGAGAAUAAGCCCCGGCUAACUUCGUG
rnacentral:rRNA from 1 species